CAGCAGCAGCCACGGUAAUACGUAGGUCCCGAGCGUUGUCCGGAUUUAUUGGGCGUAAAGCGAGCGCAGGCGGUUAGAUAAGUCUGAAGUUAAAGGCUGUGGCUUAACCAUAGUACGCUUUGGAAACUGUUUAACUUGAGUGCAAGAGGGGAGAGUGGAAUUCCAUGUGUAGCGGUGAAAUGCGUAGAUAUAUGGAGGAACACCGGUGGCGAAAGCGGCUCUCUGGCUUGUAACUGACGCUGAGGCUCGAAAGCGUGGGGAGCAAACAGGAUUAGAUACCCCUGUAGUCCCUGUCUCUUAUACC
rnacentral:rRNA from 1 species